GAAGCAGGCAGACUGCCCUAAGUCUGAGGACAGCCUGGCUACAUAGUGAGUAGCAACCGAACCAGAGGAGAUGUAGAAUCUAGAAGGAGAUGUAGCUAUUGGGAAGCAGGUGAGGAUCUGGAAAAAUCAGUAGUUCCAGAAAAAGGGGAAACUAAAUUCUACCACUCACCUAAUACAACCAUCCACACAACGAUGGGAAAUCAGUGGGACUGGUGACCAUGCAGCAGAAUAAUUAGAACAACUCAGUUUCAAGAAUGCCAGCUGCUUCCAGAUGUUUGUACAGGAAUGAAAGACCAUGAGCUCCUCAGAGAGACCUUAUAGCUGCCUAAUCUUGUACUGUUCUUCUGUGACUGACAAGAGACCUCCCAGUCGAGACUGCAGAGUGCCCUGGAGGGCUGAAGAACCAGUCUUGGUCCCUAAUGGUAGUGCACCCCUUAGGUCUCCUCAGGCUUGCUCAGGAAUGUCACCAGAACAGCAAGCUAUCUCGGGCUACCUGGUCACUGAUUAAUCCUGCCAACUACAGACUAAGCUCAGUGGAUAACUCAAAACCAAGUUUCUUGUCUGAGCCUUGCCAUGAGACUCUUUUGUAGUGGCAAAGACAAAACUGAGCCAGCAAGACAGCUCAGUAAGUAAAGGAAUCCAGCAUCAAGCCAGACUGCCUGAGUUCAAUUCCCCAAGACCCACAUU
rnacentral:lncRNA from 1 species